rnacentral:rRNA from 1 species
UACGGAGGGUGCAAGCGUUAAUCGGAAUUCCUGGGCGUAAAGCGCACGCAGGCGGUCUGUCAAGUCAGAUGUGAAAUCCCCGGGCUCAACCUGGGAACUGCAUUUGAAACUGGCAAGCUAGAGUCUCGUAGAGGGGGGUAGAAUUCCAGGCGUAGCGGUGAAAUGCGUAGAGAUCUGGAGGAAUACCGGUGGCGAAGGCGGCCCCCUGGAUGAAGACUGACGCUCAGGUGCGAAAGCGUGGGGAGCAAACAGG